CCACAUCUGUGAACCCAGUGGCCCCAGAAGUCAUGUUGCCAGCAUCCCCAGAUAACCCAGGAAGAACAGCAUAGGUGGUGCAUGAGGGAUAAGUGCCUGAGCCCAUGGAGGGCCAUGUAACAAUGACAGUGGAACCCAUGACCCUGUUCCCCCCAGCUGCAGAGGCACCCACAACUUUAGCACCCAUAGCAACCCCCUCUAUAGCAGCACCUACAGACCCAACAAACCUGGACAUGGCCAAGGUGCCCAUGACCCCAGCUCUUCCCCCACUCUCCCCUCCCACCAACCACAGUGGGGAACACAUGACCCAGGUGACCCCAGAAGCAGAAGAGAUGCUUGAAGCCUAGUGACCACCAGUGGUGACACCUGCAACUACAAUGACUUCAUAAACAGCAAGGCAAGAGCAACCUCAGAGGAACAAGCAGCACAACAAAGGCAUUAAUGCUGCCUCUGGCAGAAGCAUUAGAGGGUGAAAAGUGCAAGCCCUCAAAUACAGCCAGAAGCAGCUCAGAAUCAAAGUAAACAAAACUGUACCCAAAUAAGAAAGGUGUUUGCUACCACAAAUGUGCCAGCAGAGGAACACUCAUCAAACACCUUGAAGAAUUACAAUAACACAGUAGCACAAAAAGAAAAUGGCAAUUCUUCAGAAACCAAGUUUGAAGUCACAGAAGAUUGUGAUCUGACAGAGAAUUGAAUAUUGCUGUCAUGAAGAAACUUGACAAGUUGCAAGAAAAUUCAGAAAGACAGUUCAAUAAGCUCAGGAAUAAAAUUAAUGAACAGAAGGAGUGCUUCAGCAAAGAGAUUGAAACUCUAAAAAAAAAAAAAAACCCAGAAAUUCUGGAGCUUACGAACACAAUAAAUGAGAUGAAGAAUAAAGUAGAAAGCAUUGGAAAGAGAGCAGAUUAUAUGGAAGAGAGAAUUAGUGAGCUUGAAGAUAGAAAUCUAGACAUGAUCCAGGUGGAAGAGAAAAGAACUAAGAUGCUUUAAAAAAAAAAUGGAAAAAUUCCAGAAUAAAUGUAUGACACAGAAAAAGCAACAUAAGGAAAAUGGGUAUCCGAGAAGGAGAAGAGAGGGAAAAAAGACCAGAGAGUUUAUUUAAAGAAAUAAUAGCUGAGAAUUUCCUAAACCUGGAGAAGAAACUGGAUAUAAAAGUACAUGAGCUAAUGGCACUCCCAAUUAUCUCAAUGCAAAAAGACCUUCUCCAGGGCACAUUAUAUUAAAACUGUCAAAAGCCAAUGAGAAAGAAAGAAAAUUAACAGUGGCCAGAGAGAGGAAACUAACAUAAAAGGAACCCCCAUAAGGCUAUCAGUGGAUUUCUCAGCAGAAACUACAGGCUACGAGAGAGUGGAAUGAUAUAUUCAAAAUAUUGGAAGAUAAAAACUGUCAGCUAAGAAUACUCUAUUCAGUAAUGCUAUCCUUCAGAAAUGAAGGAGAAAUAAAGGCUUUCCCAGACAAACAAAAGCUGAAGGAGUUCAUCACAUUAGACCAGCCUUACAAGAAAUGUUGAAAGGAGCCCUCCUACCUGAAACAAAAGGGCAAAGGAAUACAAAGCUUUGCGCAAGGUGACAAAUAGACAGAAUCAGAAAAUUGCAAAUCUGUAUCACAAAAGAUGAUGUAGAGGCUGUGUUACGUGGUUAUGCCUGAGGACACAGGAUGAGGGAUAGAUCUGAGACUCAUGUGCGGUCUGCGUGAUUUCAGAGGCCCGUCAUCUUAUGCAAUCCAGACUGUUCUUGACUUUGCAGAAAAUUGCUCUGUGCCUGUAGAGAAAGCCUCUGUCUGUGGUUACCUCCAGUCUACUGGGAAAGAAGAACAAUUUGGCCACCUGCACUGGAAUUCUGGUUGAUUAUGGUCAUGGGGAAGGGAAGGAGCAAGAGAAACCCUAAAAGAGUGAUGAGGUUAGAGAGUGUGCCACCUAGGAGCAGAAGAAAGCUGCUUAGUAGACAGGGCUGAUGUGCUACUGCUGGUGAAUUAGAGGAAAGAAGCAAGAAAGACUCGAUUGUUCUGGCAAAUCAGAUAAGAUGUGGACACCUAGUGUCAAGAUGGCAGAGCCUGGGUUCAUGAAUCACUACAUGGCAGAGGGUCACUCAGAACUUCAAUAGACUGCAG
ensembl:lncRNA